AUGGAGAAAGCUUCUGUUUCGGAUGAUUCUCCAGAUUCGAGCGCCGAUUGCGAUUGGUCCCAGCUUCAGACUGACCUGCUCCUCCAGAUCUUUGGCAUUCUUGAGAUCCCUGAUCUCUUCAGCUCAGGUGUGGUCUGUCGAUCCUGGCACCUCAUUUAUCUGGAGGCCCGCCGUCUCCGGCGGUGCUCGCCGAACCAGAGCCCCUGCCUUGUUUACUCACCCGGCAACCGUGACGCUAACACGGUCACCCUGCAUAACAUGUCCACCAACAAGCUUUACCACGUCACUCUAUCGGAGCCUGCCUUCCGCACACGCCACGUCAUGGGCUCCUCCUACGGCUGGCUUAUCACUGCGGAUGAGCGGUCGAAUCUCAUACUAGUCAACCCUGUAACCAGAGCUCAGAUAUCUAUGCCUCCCCCUGAAACCAUGAACAAUGUUAGACUGCUGUACACUGAAGAGGGCGUGCUAGAUGGAUACGAUGUUCUUUACAUGGAUCUCUUCUCUCGGGAUUUUGACAAUGAAAUGGAGCCGUACCAUCUUACACUUGAAGAAGCCCGCUUCUACCUCUAUGCGAGGGUCGUUCUUUCUUGUGAUCCCUCCCAUGGAAACUGCACAGUUCUCGUAGUACAAUUGCCAAAGGAUCAACUCUCUUAUACUAGGGUUGGGGACACCAAAUGGACCUGGAUUGAUGCAAAUCCAAAUUGUAGGGCUUAUCAAGAUAUACUUUAUAACAGUAAUGAUGGUUUGUUUUAUGGUGUUCGUGGUAGGGGUCAGGUUGAUACUAUUAAUCUUAAUGGACCUUCCGCUGAAGUGAAAGUUAUUUUGAAGCCGAUCAUAUCCUAUCAAGCGCAUAGUAGAUAUAUUGUUCAAGCACCAUGGGGAGAUUUUUUCCAGAUAUGGAGACAUGAUAAAUAUAAUAAGGAGAAUGGGAGAAAGGACCGGGUUGCAGACAAGUUUUUCGUGUACAAGAUUGAUUUUGUUGAACAAAAGCUCGUCCAAACAAAUAACAUCCAAGAUCAUGCAAUGUUCAUUGGUUACUGUUGA
rnacentral:rRNA from 1 species